rnacentral:rRNA from 1 species
UACGUAGGAUCCGAGCGUUGUCCGGAAUUACUGGGUGUAAAGGGAGCGCAGGCGGGUCUAUAAGUCGACGGUGAAAUCUUCCAGCUCAACUGGAAAACUGCCGCCGAUACUGUAGAUCUUGAAUAUGUCAGAGGGAAACGGAAUUCAUGGUGUAGCGGUGAAAUGCGUAGAUAUCAUGAAGAACACCAGUCGCGAAGGCGGUUUCCUGGGACAUUAUUGACGCUCAUGCUCGAAAGUGUGGGGAGCAAACAGGAUUAGAUACCCUGGUAGUCCACACCUUAAACGAUGAAUACUAGGUGUCGGGUCGCAAGAUUCGGUGCCAAAGCUAACGCAUUAAGUAUUCCACCUGGGGAGUACGAUCGCAAGGUUG